GUCGUACGCUUCUUUUUCCCCGGAGCUUGCUCCACCGGAAAAAGAAGAGUGGCGAACGGGUGAGUAACACGUGGGUAACCUGCCCAUCAGAAGGGGAUAACACUUGGAAACAGGUGCUAAUACCGUAUAACAAUCGAAACCGCAUGGUUUUGAUUUGAAAGGCGCUUUCGGGUGUCGCUGAUGGAUGGACCCGCGGUGCAUUAGCUAGUUGGUGAGGUAACGGCUCACCAAGGCCACGAUGCAUAGCCGACCUGAGAGGGUGAUCGGCCACAUUGGGACUGAGACACGGCCCAAACUCCUACGGGAGGCAGCAGUAGGGAAUCUUCGGCAAUGGACGAAAGUCUGACCGAGCAACGCCGCGUGAGUGAAGAAGGUUUUCGGAUCGUAAAACUCUGUUGUUAGAGAAGAACAAGGAUGAGAGUAACUGUUCAUCCCUUGACGGUAUCUAACCAGAAAGCCACGGCUAACUACGUGCCAGCAGCCGCGGUAAUACGUAGGUGGCAAGCGUUGUCCGGAUUUAUUGGGCGUAAAGCGAGCGCAGGCGGUUUCUUAAGUCUGAUGUGAAAGCCCCCGGCUCAACCGGGGAGGGUCAUUGGAAACUGGGAGACUUGAGUGCAGAAGAGGAGAGUGGAAUUCCAUGUGUAGCGGUGAAAUGCGUAGAUAUAUGGAGGAACACCAGUGGCGAAGGCGGCUCUCUGGUCUGUAACUGACGCUGAGGCUCGAAAGCGUGGGGAGCAAACAGGAUUAGAUACCCUGGUAGUCCACGCCGUAAACGAUGAGUGCUAAGUGUUGGAGGGUUUCCGCCCUUCAGUGCUGCAGCUAACGCAUUAAGCACUCCGCCUGGGGAGUACGACCGCAAGGUUGAAACUCAAAGGAAUUGACGGGGGCCCGCACAAGCGGUGGAGCAUGUGGUUUAAUUCGAAGCAACGCGAAGAACCUUACCAGGUCUUGACAUCCUUUGACCACUCUAGAGAUAGAGCUUCCCCUUCGGGGGCAAAGUGACAGGUGGUGCAUGGUUGUCGUCAGCUCGUGUCGUGAGAUGUUGGGUUAAGUCCCGCAACGAGCGCAACCCUUAUUGUUAGUUGCCAUCAUUUAGUUGGGCACUCUAGCAAGACUGCCGGUGACAAACCGGAGGAAGGUGGGGAUGACGUCAAAUCAUCAUGCCCCUUAUGACCUGGGCUACACACGUGCUACAAUGGGAAGUACAACGAGUCGCGAAGUCGCGAGGCUAAGCUAAUCUCUUAAAGCUUCUCUCAGUUCGGAUUGUAGGCUGCAACUCGCCUACAUGAAGCCGGAAUCGCUAGUAAUCGCGGAUCAGCACGCCGCGGUGAAUACGUUCCCGGGCCUUGUACACACCGCCCGUCACACCACGAGAGUUUUAACACCCGAAGUCGGUGAGGUAACCUUUGGAGCC
rnacentral:rRNA from 1 species